UGGGUUUUGGUGGUACUUGUGUAGGAUAGGUGGGAGGCUGCGAACCCGGAUCGCCAGAUUCGGGGGAGCCAACCUUGAAAUACCACCCUGGUAGCAUUGGAACUCUAACCCUGAUCCGUUAUCCGGAUCGGAGACAGUGGCAGGUGGGUAGUUUGACUGGGGCGGUCGCCUCCUAAAAUGUAACGGAGGCGCGCAAUGGUUCCCUCAGCGCGGUUGGUAAUCGCGCGUCGAGUGUAAACGCACAAGGGAGCUUGACUGCGAGACCCACAAGUCGAGCAGGUGCGAAAGCAGGUGUUAGUGAUCCGGCGGCUCUGUAUGGAAUGGCCGUCGCUCAACGGAUAAAAGGUACCCCGGGGAUAACAGGCUGAUCUUCCCCAAGCGCCCACAGCGACGGGAAGGUUUGGCACCUCGAUGUCGGCCCAUCGCAUCCUGGGGCUGUAGGCGGUCCCAAGGGUUUGGCUGUUCGCCAAUUAAAGCGGUACGCGAGCUGGGUUCAGAACGUCGUGAGACAGUUCGGUCCCUAUCUGUCGCGGGCGUAGGAGAAUUGAGAGGAUCUGUUCCUAGUACGAGAGGACCGGAACGGAGCGACCAAUGGUGUACCUGUUGUCCUGCCAUGGGCAUCGCAGGGUAGCCAAGUCGCGAAGGGAUAACCGCUGAAAGCAUCUAAGUGGGAAACCCACCUCAAGAUGAGUUCUCCCCUCUAAGGAGAUAAGUCCCCUUGAAGAUGACAAGGUUGAUAGGCCGGAUGUGGAAGCACGGUGACGUGUGGAGCUAACCGGUACUAAUCGGACGAAGACUUGAUACACA
rnacentral:rRNA from 1 species